rnacentral:rRNA from 1 species
GCAUAUCCAAAAAGCGGAGGAAAAGAAACCAACAGGGAUUGCCUUAGUAGCGGCGAGUGAAGCGGCAAAAGCUCAAAUUUGAAAUCUGGCACUUUCAGUGUCCGAGUUGUAAUUUGAAGAAGGUAUCUUUGGGUCUGGCUCUUGUCUAUGUUUCUUGGAACAGAACGUCACAGAGGGUGAGAAUCCCGUGCGAUGAGAUGUCCCAGACCUAUGUAAAGUUCCUUCGAAGAGUCGAGUUGUUUGGGAAUGCAGCUCUAAGUGGGUGGUAAAUUCCAUCUAAAGCUAAAUAUUGGCGAGAGACCGAUAGCGAACAAGUACAGUGAUGGAAAGAUGAAAAGAACUUUGAAAAGAGAGUGAAAAAGUACGUGAAAUUGUUGAAAGGGAAGGGCUUGAGAUCAGACUUGGUAUUUUGUAUGUUACUCUCUCGGGGGUGGCCUCUACAGUUUACCGGGCCAGCAUCAGUUUGGGCGGUAGGACAAUUGCAAAGAAAUGUGGCACUGCCUCGGUAGUGUGUUAUAGUCUUUGUCGAUACUGCCAGCCUAGACUGAGGACUGCGGCUUCGGCCUAGGAUGUUGGCAUAAUGAUCUUAAGUCGCCCGUCUUGAAC